rnacentral:lncRNA from 1 species
AAGAGGUUGAAAUUUACUUAUUUGCAGGAUUUAUUAAUCAUUCUUCUUUGAUGAUAUUUUUUCUUUCUCAUCCAAAAAUAUUGAAGUCGUUUUUUUCUCAUCCAGAAAUAUUGAAGCCGUAAAAAAGAAUAUCUUCUCGAUUGUCUUUCGAAAGUGAAAAUGUGAAAAUGUGAGAGGCUCUUCCUUUUUGUUUUCAAUUUUUUUGUUCUUUCAUUUAUCUAUUGUAUCUAAUAACACGAUGUUGAGUGUGUUAAAUUGAAAUCUAUUAUUGAAUUAAUUCAGUUUUAAAAAAGUAAAGUCAAGGACUACAGUUCUAAAAUAAAAGUCUACUUUAGAUUUUAGUUAAUUCGUAAAUUAUUUACAAAUUAAUAAUUAUUAAAUAUUUGAAUAAA